rfam:Plasmodiophora brassicae isolate e3 genome assembly, contig: scaffold_20
GCGUUCGUGGCCGAGUUGGUCCAAGGCGCUAGAUUCAGGUUCUAGUCUUCUUCGGGGGGCGCAGGUUCGAAUCCUGCCGAACGCA